rnacentral:rRNA from 1 species
GCAUAUCAAUAAGCGGAGGAAAAGAAACCAACCGGGAUUGCCUUAGUAACGGCGAGUGAAGCGGCAAAAGCUCAAAUUUGAAAUCUGGUACCUUCGGUGCCCGAGUUGUAAUUUGGAGAGGGCAACUUUGGGGCCGUUCCUUGUCUAUGUUCCUUGGAACAGGACGUCAUAGAGGGUGAGAAUCCCGUGUGGCGAGGAGUGCGGUUCUUUGUAAAGUGCCUUCGAAGAGUCGAGUUGUUUGGGAAUGCAGCUCUAAGUGGGUGGUAAAUUCCAUCUAAAGCUAAAUAUUGGCGAGAGACCGAUAGCGAACAAGUACAGUGAUGGAAAGAUGAAAAGAACUUUGAAAAGAGAGUGAAAAAGUACGUGAAAUCGUUGAAAGGGAAGGGCAUUUGAUCAGACAUGGUGUUUUGUGCCCUCUGCUCCUUGUGGGUAGGGGAAUCUCGCAUUUCACUGGGCCAGCAUCAGUUUUGGUGGCAGGAUAAAUCCAUAGGAAUGUAGCUUGCCUCGGUAAGUAUUAUAGCCUGUGGGAAUACUGCCAGCUGGGACUGAGGACUGCGACGUAAGUCAAGGAUGCUGGCAUAAUGGUUAUAUGCCGCCCGUCUUGAAACACGGACC